AAAAAGAACUGAGAGGGGAGAGAGGAAAAAAAAAAAAAAAGACAACUUUUUGAGCCUGGAGUUAAAAACCGAGCUGUCCCUGCUCCUCCCUUGCUGCGGCGCUGGGGAUGCCGUUGACACCAGUGCAGAGCGUGGCUUCCCCUUGCUGUGAUGCUCCACUCGUUUCCUGGCCACCCAAAGGCGGGGCUUGAGUCCUGGUGGAAGUUCAUGGGGAAUUUCCUGGAGCGGGAGCUGGAGAGGAAAACCCACCCCACAACCACAGCAGAGCCAGGACAUGGGGAGCUGCCUGCACGACCCAUCUCGGGGACGUAGUCACUACGUGUGCCUUCCUCCAUCCUCCUCCUCCCAGCAGCUGCCGGCCUGGAGCAACGCAGAGCAAGCCUGGCAUUGGGCUGUAGGAACACCAGGAGCACCCUGGGGACAGGACACAGCGCCAAGCCACACUGGUGGAGAACACGAAGCUGGAAGAGGAUGGGGGGAAGAAAAAUGAACAGAAGAAGAAGAAAAGGAAGGAAACAAAAGUCUCCAAACUCAGGAAAUCUGUGUUAAUUGCUUACGAAUGCCUCUGUCUAAAAAAUUAUCGAAUUGAUGUUGUCGCGCUUUUUUUUGACAGCCUGUCUGUUAUAUAUAUAUAUUUUUAAAUAUUCAUGCACCGAAAUCUAAUUACUAGGCAAAUUUAAUGAUAAUGAAAUGAAGGCACUUUAGCAGAAAGCACUGGGCCUUGUUAAUAUUUUCUCAGCCUCUGUCUUGCUCGUAUUUUUAAAGUAUUCUUUUUUUCCCAACCACCUUUCUUGCAGUAAAAAUAAAGAAAUAAGAA